GGCCUAUUAGCUCAGUUGGUUAGAGCGUCGUGCUAAUAACACGAAGGUCGCUGGUUCGAGACCUGCAUGGGCCA
rfam:Zea mays cultivar B73 chromosome 2, whole genome shotgun sequence.